ensembl:lncRNA
UUUAAAACUUUGCACUACCACUAAUAGGUGCACAGGAUCAGAAAAAGUUCAGAGGGGUCAGAUUUGAAGGCAACAACUACCAACCUAUUUCAUUCAGCUAUUAGACUGGGGGAGAGAGAGAUGCUGGUUGGCAGUCAUAGCUCUUCAUAUCUGUAUGCACAGGCUUGUAUCUUUGGCUUUUUAUGAAAGAAACAGAUAUUUUCUAGCACAGAUGCUCAUUUUCAGUACUGAUGACUCAACAGGGAGACCUCAUGUCCUUACAGGCCCUGGAAAAGCUCCAACUGUAAGUCGCUUCAGAUUAUUUGUGCAAGAAAAUGAAGAGAAUAUUUUUCUUUUCUACCAAAAGCCUGCACACCAGAAAUAACUCCCAUUUCUUUGCUGCUCUGAGGAAUUAUUCAAAGUUUUUUUUUUUUUUUUAUGGCUGCCCAAAAAGUGACCUGAGAGAGCGAGAGAGAGAAUAUUGAGCUGGAGCGAUAGAGUGGCAACGAAAAUCCUCUCUCAGCUUACAUAUUGAGGUUGUGUUCUCCAUCAGUGGGUUUGAGGGAUUGAGGAAGAACACAAAGAGAGACCCGGUCUUCUGCGCGGCAUUGUAGAGGACACACUCUCCCUCGUAUGCACAUACACAUCUCCUCUACCUCUGUCUACUCACACAUGCACUUAAAAAAAUAUAUAUAUUUUCCCAUUUCUGUUGUUCCCUCCACUGCUUUCUCACUUCACUUCUCUUCCACCCGGCUGUUUUGUACUUUUGACUCUCUCCAUAUUUCUCCUGCUUAUGUCUUAAAUCCGUGUGCUUCACGUAAUCAGCCGGCCUGACUCGGGGAGCAUAUACAAUAUGUUGUCUGCAAACAAACAGCCCAUCUGAUGUUAAUGCUGAAUACUGAACAGUGUGCGUAUGUGUUUUUCACCUGUUUCUGUCUUUCUCUGGGGUGAAAAUGCAGUGGGUAAAGAAUGACUGGGUGACAGGUGAGAGGAGCUGAGCCUCACAGGUUCAUUACCGACUGGCAG